GCCUGCCUUUCUACGAAGUUCCACUCUCGAAUAGACCUCAAAUUUGGAUCCUGAUUACUUGACUUUAUUUCUCUGGAGGAAACGAGGGUAAUGGCCCAAUCCUUUGAUACAUCGUACUGCUCCGCAAGAAUUCCUCCUCGAGGCUCGUUGUACGAUGCUAUCAAGUACUUUCCAUUUACUUUAAUUUCUCGGAAGUUGUCAUAUUUCUUACGAAGAUCUACUUAAAUUUUUUUAAUCUGUUAACUGGUGAAGAGUUGCUAUUAUUCUUUCAGAAAGUGUAUUUCCUUCUUCAUCAUUCCUACUUUAUCGAUAGAUAUAAAAUGGUCGGUUAAGUUCAUGAAGCUAGUUUGGAAUUUGAAUCCACUAAGGUUCACACACUUUUCUUUCUUUAUGAAACUACACAACAAGCUUCCCAAUCAGGUGCUUGCCCUGGGUACUAAUACCCUAUGGAGUAUAGAGGGGCUAUGGUUGUUGAUAAGUGUUUUACGCACUUAUCAGAUACUUUAACAAGUUAAUUAUUGAUUGAAUUGGGUGAAUUUUUGCAAUUGUGUAAUUAUGACUUUUGUUGGUCAAAACCCCAAAAGGAGAAAAACAACGAGGCAGAACAAAGAGAAAAGGGA
rnacentral:lncRNA from 1 species